ACUGCUGUUGCAUAAUAUCAAGAGUCUGUAUUUAAAAAAAAAAUCAGUAACGCUCGGCUCUAUGUCUUGAGUGUACUUCGUCAUCUAGUACGAUAUACUUAUAAAUUAUUAAAUCAUUGCAUAAUAAAAACGAUUCUUAUGUGAGGCGAGACGGUGUCUCAGUUUUGUUCAAAGCUAAAGCCUAAAAUAGAUUAUACUCUAAAUAUUUUCAAAAUUUAAUUGUGUAUAUAGAAAUUAAUAAUGUAUCAGGGGACUGGAGAUGUAUUCUCACGUAAUGAUGAGAAGUUUCAAGUCACGCGAUCGAUAUUUUUUUAAUCACAGCAUUAAGCACAAAUAAUUCAAAACGUCGUUUUUCGUUUAAACGUCCGAUUUCAUCAAAAUUUGAACUUCAAACGUUCAUAAAAUAAAUUAAGGUAUAAUUCGGAAAGAUUGGACAGACAAUUGUGCUUUGGUGUACAUUGAAUAAUCUAUCUACAACGCCGUAGAAUUGCAAUAAUAAUAUGAUACAGGAAAAAUGUCAAAUAUUUUUACGUGCUAUAUAGAACUAAUGAACACAGAAAAAAGAAUAAUUAAUACCAUAUUAUCAUCAAAAGUGCAACAGGAUACAUACUUUGCAGUUAAAAAUGUUUUCAAUUCAGGAAUAUGAUUGAGCCGAGCAGCUGGACGAGCCAAAAGUAUUCUACAGCAAGUAACUUCAAUGCCUUUUUCAUGAUUAGCCAUAGCUAAAGCCAUUCUAGCUAAAAACAAUGCUUGAAUCAUUGACAGUUGAGGAGGAGGUUUUAAAUGCAAAUCUUGGAUGCCUUGUGCAACCCAACAACUAAAAUGAUCCCAAAACAAGUUUUCAGCUCUUCUAC